rnacentral:tRNA from 1 species
GGCUGUAGCUCAGUGGUAGAGCACUUGCCUCACGUACUUGAUUACUGGGUUUGAUCCUCAGCACGACA